GGCUCCCCCUUUUUCAGAAGGACCGCCCCGGCGCCUUCGGGCCCGGAACCAGGCGCCCGCCGGAGGCCCCAAACUCUUAUGUCUUUAGUGGUUUUCUCCUCUGAGUGACACAUAAACAAAUAAAUAAAAACUUUCAACAACGGAUCUCUUGGUUCUGGCAUCGAUGAAGAACGCAGCGAAAUGCGAUAAGUAAUGUGAAUUGCAGAAUUCAGUGAAUCAUCGAAUCUUUGAACGCACAUUGCGCCCGCCAGUAUUCUGGCGGGCAUGCCUGUUCGAGCGUCAUUUCAACCCUCAGGCCCCCAGUGCCUGGUGUUGGGGAUCGGCCCAGCCUUCUCGCAAGGCCGCCGGCCCCGAAAUCUAGUGGCGGUCUCGCUGUAGUCCUCCUCUGCGUAGUAGCACAACCUCGCAGUUGGAACGCGGCGGUGGCCAUGCCGUUAAACACCCCACUUCUGAAAGUUGACCUCGGAUCAGGUAGGAAUACCCGCUGAACUUAAGCAUAUCAAAAGUCCGGAGGAA
rnacentral:rRNA from 1 species